AUUCCUAGUCCUGCUGUUCGGGAUUGUCGACAGCUUUCCAGAGUGGUGCGACGCCGACACGAUCGUCGUCUGGAGCAGGCCAUUGAGACGGCGCUAGUCGCUGUCCCGCCAGAGCAGAGCUCCGAAGCCGGAAAUCCUCGACUGUUUCCCUAAUCUUCGACGCAUACAAAGUGACCGGGUUGAACUUGCUGCGUCGACAGGGGCCCUUACAGACGGACUGCGGCAAUGGAAGUCAGGUCGUCAUCUUUGACUUGGCCGCUUCGGAAGGCCCCAUCUUGUGCUCAUUCCAUUGGAAAGCGGGUGGCAAUGUUUCCCUCAACCUGGCUGCUUACGGCGUGCGGGUGAAGACGCAGCUAAAGUUCGUCCAGGGAAUUCCCACUGGUGGCCUCGGUACAGUCAGGAAAAUUCUCGACGAGCAAGACGAGCCGGUGGCCACUUCGUUGCGCGUUUCCCGUGUCGAGUUGUACAUUCAUAACCCAAGCGGAGACAGGAACAGAUCAACGGCCGGAUUUCUGGGGCACCUGGCACUCGCCUCCAUCCAAGAUACCUGGGAAGACGUGUUCGUACCAAAACUUGUUCAUGCCCUCAAAGAACUGUGACAAAUCUACCACGUCUUUAUACCGGAAUAAAACUGU
rnacentral:lncRNA from 1 species